AGUACGGCGGAACACGAGAAAUUCCGUCGGAAUCCGCGGGGACCAUCCCGCAAGGCUAAAUACUCCCUAGUGACCGAUAGUGAACCAGUACCGUGAGGGAAAGGUGAAAAGCACCCCGGAAGGGGAGUGAAAUAGAUCCUGAAACCGUGUGCCUACAACAAGUCAAAGCUCGUUAAUGAGUGAUGGCGUGCCUUUUGUAGAAUGAACCGGCGAGUUACGAUUGCAUGCGAGGUUAAGUCGAAGAGACGGAGCCGCAGCGAAAGCGAGUCUGAAUAGGGCGAAUGAGUAUGUAGUCGUAGACCCGAAACCAUGUGAUCUACCCAUGUCCAGGUUGAAGGUGCGGUAAAACGCACUGGAGGACCGAACCCACGUACGUUGAAAAGUGCGGGGAUGAGGUGUGGGUAGCGGAGAAAUUCCAAACGAACUUGGAGAUAGCUGGUUCUCUCCGAAAUAGCUUUAGGGCUAGCCUCGGAAUUGAGAAUGAUGGAGGUAGAGCACUGUUUGGACUAGGGGCCCAUCUCGGGUUACCGAAUUCAGAUAAACUCCGAAUGCCAUUCAUUUAUAUCCGGGAGUCAGACUGCGAGUGAUAAGAUCCGUAGUCGAAAGGGAAACAGCCCAGACCACCAGCUAAGGUCCCAAAAUAUAUGUUAAGUGGAAAAGGAUGUGGGGUUGCACAGACAACUAGGAUGUUGGCUUAGAAGCAGCCACCAUUUAAAGAGUGCGUAAUAGCUCACUAGUCGAGUGACCCUGCGCCGAAAAUGUACCGGGGCUAAACAUAUUACCGAAGCUGUGGACUACACCAUUAGGUGUAGUGGUAGGAGAGCGUUCUAAGGGCGUUGAAGGUCGAUCGUGAGGACGGCUGGAGCGCUUAGAAGUGAGAAUGCCGGUAUGAGUAGCGAAAGACAGGUGAGAAUCCUGUCCACCGUAUGACUAAGGUUUCCUGGGGAAGGCUCGUCCGCCCAGGGUUAGUCGGGACCUAAGCCGAGGCCGAUAGGCGUAGGCGAUGGACAACAGGUUGAUAUUCCUGUACCAGUUGUUUUUGUUUGAGCAAUGGAGGGACGCAGUAGGCUAAGGAAUGCAUGCGAUUGGAAGUGC
rnacentral:rRNA from 1 species